AACGAACGCUGGCGGCAUGCCUAACACAUGCAAGUCGAACGAUCCCUUUGGGGAUAGUGGCGCACGGGUGCGUAACGCGUGGGAACCUGCCCUUAGGUUCGGAAUAACUCAGAGAAAUUUGAGCUAAUACCGGAUAAUGUCUUCGGACCAAAGAUUUAUCGCCUUUGGAUGGGCCCGCGUUGGAUUAGCUAGUUGGUGGGGUAAAGGCCUACCAAGGCGACGAUCCAUAGCUGGUCUGAGAGGAUGAUCAGCCACACUGGGACUGAGACACGGCCCAGACUCCUACGGGAGGCAGCAGUGGGGAAUAUUGGACAAUGGGCGAAAGCCUGAUCCAGCAAUGCCGCGUGAGUGAUGAAGGCCUUAGGGUUGUAAAGCUCUUUUACCCGGGAUGAUAAUGACAGUACCGGGAGAAUAAGCCCCGGCUAACUCCGUG
rnacentral:rRNA from 1 species